rnacentral:rRNA from 1 species
CCUACGGGGGGCAGCAGUGGGGAAUAUUGGGCAAUGGGCGAAAGCCUGACCCAGCAACGCCGCGUGAAGGAAGAAGGCUUUCGGGUUGUAAACUUCUUUUGACAGGGAAGAGCAGAAGACGGUACCUGUCGAAUAAGCCACGGCUAACUACGUGCCAGCAGCCGCGGUAAAACGGAUGCGGCAAGCGUUGUUCGGAUUUACUGGGUGGAAGGGGCGUGUAGCCGGGCUGACAAGUCAGAUGUGAAAUCCGGGGGCUCAACCCAUGAACUGCAUUUGAAACUGGUGGUCUUGAGUAUCGGAGAGGCAGGUGGAAUUCCAAGUGUAGCGGUGAAAUGCGUAGAUAUUAGGAGGAACACCAGUGGCGAAGGCGGCCUGCUGGACGACAACUGACGGUGAGGCGCGAAAGCGUGGGGAGCAAACAGGAUUAGAUACCCUGGUAGUC